AUGGACCUGGACGACUUCCAACUUGACCACGAGUUUCCAGACGACUACGGGCAAGAGGAAGAGGACGAGUGCGACAUCAAAGUGGAGCCUUUGUUCGAGGACGAGCUCGCCAACCAAGCCGCCGGUCCGAAGCCGAAGCGCAAGAGCAAGCACACGAAGGCAUACAUGGCGGCCGAGGACAAGCUUCUUUGUGAGUUUUGGCGAGACAUUGAACAAGACCCCAAGACGGGCGCCGAACAAAAGCAUUCAAAUUUUUGGAUUCGUGUCCACCGGGAGUUUCAUGAGUGCAAGAAGUUUCCACCUUACCAAAUUGUGAGCACGCGUGGGUGGGUGUCCAUUUCCAAGCGAUGGAGGGUGAUCCAACAAGAGUGCAACAAGUUUUGUGCCACUCUUGAGAGCGUCAAGGCCCGCCCCGUGAGCGGCAUCGGCAUGCAAGACAUGGUAUGCUAG
rnacentral:rRNA from 1 species